AGUCUCGGACAUAUCAGCCUGAAGGCGCUAGAUCUUGCUGCUCUCAGAAGUUAAGCAGGGUCGGGCCUGGUUAGUAUCUUGGAUGGGAGACACCUGGGAAUCCCGGGUGCUCGAGGCUU
rnacentral:rRNA from 1 species